rnacentral:miRNA from 8 species
CCCCUCAGUUUGCAGGGUACAA